UAUCGGGCCCAAAAAACACCUUGAUUCUGUGGGAGUGAGGGUAAUCCAAGAUCUACCCGGCAUCGGCGAAAACUUUCAAGAUCAAAUUAUGUACAAUCUUCAGUACACUCUUGACGAGCCUGAUAUCUACGACAAUAAUUGGGCCGCUGCUUCCGAGAAUCUGGCCUUUCAGACCGGUCCUGUUUCUUGCAACGGACUUGAGCAAGUUGUGGGUGCGGUAGCGUCGAAAGCGACGUAGGCCACUUUUCCAGCCAUCCAGAUAUUCGCUUCUGGUUAUGUCGCAGGGUGUGCACCAGGUGAACUCGAUGCUUUACAAAGUACGGGCAAACGCACAGUGACUCCAUGGCCAGUGUAUCACCACACAAGAAGCAGGGGCAGAAUCAGUCUUGCUUCGAACAACCCCUUUGACAAGCCUGUAAUUUGGAGCAAUAUCUUGAGUGAGCCUGCCGACGUUGCUGGCCUCAUAGAAGCCAUAAAUAUUACCCUGAAACUGACGAACACCGACGCUUUGAAAGCCCACAAUUUCACCUUGUCCACCACACCUAUGGAUGUCUGCUCAGAUCACCCUUUUCUUAGCACGGAAUACUGGGUUUGUGCGUUACGACAAAGUGUAGUGCCCCGAGCUCACACGGGAGGAACCUGCAAAAUGGGUCCUUCCUCGGAUCCCAUGGCAGUCGUUGAUCCUCAGCUACGAGUCUAUGGGGUCGGGGGACUCCGCGUUGCGGAUGCUUCCAUCAUGCCCAUGGUUACUUUUGCUAAUACCGCGGGACCGACUAUGAUGAUUGGAGAACGAGCUGCUGGUUUCAUUAAAAAACAUUCGAUGCAGAAUUUUCAACGUGGUUGCCUACAAUGAAUACGCAAGAUGCGGAAACGAAGCUGGUGAAACAAAAUGGUUGAAACACAAUUUUUUUUU
rnacentral:lncRNA from 1 species